UUUCCGUAGGUGAACCUGCGGAAGGAUCAUUAUUGUGUAACAAAGGUGAGAGUGCUGUCGUUGAUACGCCAGGUCGUGCACCCACCAGUGCCCUCAGACCCCUCCAACGCACUCCAAUGUGCACCUCCGAGAGGGUCCACCUUUGGCUGGUUCGGAGGGGGGCUUACUUUUUCACCCAACCUUUGUAUGCACUGCAGAAUGCAUUUUUUGUUUUUGCGAUCACGCAAACAAUACAACUUUCAACAACGGAUCCCUUCGCGCUCGCAUCGAUGAAGAACC
rnacentral:misc_RNA from 1 species